rnacentral:rRNA from 1 species
UACGAAGGGGGCUAGCGUUGCUCGGAAUCACUGGGCGUAAAGCGCACGUAGGCGGCUUGCUAAGUCAGGGGUGAAAUCCUGGAGCUCAACUCCAGAACUGCCUUUGAUACUGGCGAUCUUGAGUCCGGGAGAGGUGAGUGGAACUGCGAGUGUAGAGGUGAAAUUCGUAGAUAUUCGCAAGAACACCAGUGGCGAAGGCGGCUCACUGGCCCGGUACUGACGCUGAGGUGCGAAAGCGUGGGGAGCAAAC